AGCUGCUUGUCUUCCUAGGACACAGCGGUGUUUACCAUACAGAGCACCAGGUUAUGCGACGUUCGGGCUUCCUGAGAGACCAUGGAAGACUUCCUGCAGUUCUGGAGUCUGUAUCCUAAGUGUCUCUCUCAGCCUCUUCCUCAGGAUCUGCACUCACUGGACAGCAUCUACACUCACUGGGAAGUAACUUGUCUGUGAAAAGAAAGUCAGGCGAGACAUGACUUAAGGGUUCUACUGUUCUUAGAUCUGUGAAAUUAGGUACACGGGAGUCUGCAGAGCUGCGCUCGCUCCUGGCACUCAUCACCCAAGGGCAUCUGCAAACUGAGAGGAGAUUUAGGAAGAUGCAGUUCACUCUCAGGGAAUUCCAAAGAUGCCUGGAAUCCAUCACCUCUCCAUUCCUUGAAUUAUCUAGCAUGCCUGGAGGUCCUAUAAUCACUGUCCGCCACUCACCGGGAAGCUUAACCCUGCAUUGGAAACAUCUGUUUCACAGAAUGAGAAAAGGAAGGAGGC